GCUCUGUCGGAGGUCAUGCUAUGAUCAGA
rnacentral:piRNA from 1 species